rnacentral:rRNA from 1 species
UACGGAGGGUGCAAGCGUUAAUCGGAAUUACUGGGCGUAAAGCGUGCGCAGGCGGUUUGUUAAGUCCGUUGUGAAAGCCCCGAGCUCAACUUGGGAAUUGCAGUGGAUACUGGCAGGCUGGAGUACGGUAGAGGAAGGUGGAAUUCCCAGUGUAGCAGUGAAAUGCGUAGAUAUCGGGAGGAACACCAGUGGCGAAGGCGGCCUUCUGGACCAGUACUGACGCUCAUGCACGAAAGCGUGGGGAGCAAACAGG